rnacentral:lncRNA from 1 species
CGAUCUUCCGAUCUCUCCGGGCGAAACGAUCGACCGUGUACGACCCUUGCGCCACAGCUCUCGACGACCGGCGCGGCCGACGAGAUUCGGCGUUGGCCUUCUCCCGGUUCACUCGCCGUUACUUAGGGAAUCCCGGUUGGUUUCUUUUCCUCCGCUUAGCGAUAUGCUUAAGUUCGGCGGGUAAUCGCGUCCGAGUCGAGGGUAGC